UGACAACCAGGACCCCAUUCUUAGAGGCUUUCCAAAGGUCACCUCAUUAACAUAAACUCAGACUUCUGUCAUUACAAAUUCUAGCAUCAACUUGUCAAGUUUGAACCAUAUUUUUACAGAAUAAGAACUAAAAUCUGAACAAUAUUGAGCACUUCAAUUUCAUAUCAAACAAGACGUUCACUAACAUCUACAAUGUAUUACGUACUGGGGACAGAGCUGAAAACAGAUUCAUUUUCUUCAAGGGACUUACAGUCUAAUAACGAAGGUGUCAGAUCUGCAAGUAUCUCGCAAUAGCACAGUAUAGAAAUGGAGGACUAUAAAGGACACAACGGAUAUAUAUACAGAAGAGGACAUAACACACAGAACAAGAUGUUGAAGUGCUUAAUGGCCAAAAACAUA